CUAGGUAGUCGUCCUUAAGUUCUUGUACAGUGUCGUGCUGUGCGCCCAUUUGUGAAGCUACGGCUAGAAAAUAGUCGUGGAGCCGCUGCAGAAUGGCCUCUACUA
rnacentral:ribozyme from 1 species